rnacentral:tRNA from 1 species
GGUGGCACAGUGGUUAAGCACUUGGUUGCUAACCAAAAGGUUGGUGGUUCAAAUCCACCAGCCA